CCUCAGUAGCCUGGCUUGAGGGGGGAGAGGGCCUCGGGCUCCCCUUUUCUCCUCAGGAGCCUGGCUUGGGGGGGUAGAGGGCCUCGGGCUCCCCUUUUCUCCUCAGGAGCCUGGCUUGGGGGGGUAGAGGGCCUCGGGCUCCCCUUUUCUCCUCAGGAGCCUGGCUUGGGGGGGUAGAGGGCCUCGGGCUCCCCUUUUCUCCUCAGGAGCCUGGCUUGGGGGGGUAGAGGGCCUCGGGCUCCCCUUUUCUCCUCAGGAGCCUGGCUUGGGGGGGUAGAGGGCCUCGGGCUCCCCUUUUCUCCUCAGGAGCCUGGCUUGGGGGGGUAGAGGGCCUCGGGCUCCCCUUUUCUCCUCAGGAGCCUGGCUUGGGGGGGUAGAGGGCCUCGGGCUCCCCUUUUCUCCUCAGGAGCCUGGCUUGGGGGGGUAGAGGGCCUCGGGCUCCCCUUUUCUCCUCAGGAGCCUGGCUUGGGGGGGUAGAGGGCCUCGGGCUCCCCUUUUCUCCUCAGGAGCCUGGCUUGGGGGGGUAGAGGGCCUCGGGCUCCCCUUUUCUCCUCAGGAGCCUGGCUUGGGGGGGUAGAGGGCCUCGGGCUCCCCUUUUCUCCUCAGGAGCCUGGCUUGAGGGUUGGCGGGGUAGAGGGCCAGCUGUGCUCCAGCUGUGUGUGCUGCUCCCCUUCGUGCCUUGUUAAAAAAAAAAAGCCAACGGACACCUCAGACAACGAGAAUGACCAGGCAGGAACCCAACGGGAACAAAAAUAAAUAAAAUUAAAAUUAAAAAUCAGUUAUUUAUCAUGUUUCCAUCGUUGCACUGCUCCUCACGGAGGAUCAAAAGGCCCUUUUCCAACUUCAUAGGGCUCUCCGUAGGGGACCUGCAUGGGAAGGAGGUGUAAAUGUGCCAUUUUCCCACUCCCCUAUUCAAUAAUACGGAAUCCUGAAGAAAUUAUUAAUAUUGUUUGCAUCGUGUAUGUGUGUGUGUGUUUCUCUCACUGUUCAAGAAAGUGCAAAGGACCAGCCCCUCUUUUUCCUCCUUGGUAAGCACAAAGCAGCAGUUUUAAGGGAUGAUUAAUCUGGUGGGUAACCAUGAAUACUUUUUCGACCUUUUUUCAUGACAAUCCUUGGAAGAACCAAGGACUUGGGAUGACGUUCAACUCUCUCCUGAGCUAUGAGGCUCUCCAGGCAAUUGAGUCAAUCUCUCUCUCAUGGCCUAAUCCACCUCACAGGACUGUUGUAGUGAGGAAGCAAAAUGUGCUCAGACACCGUGGACAGCCACCUGCUAGAUCUUUGCAUCAUGGUCUUCCGAGCCACCUUCAUCAAUGGCAGCAAACUGAGCCUGGGGUGCCUAAUGGCCCAUAGCAAGCGAGCGGUCAAGAAGUUCGUCAAUUGUGAUGUCAUGCUGGACCCAGCAAGUACGCUGUGGUGUGCUGUGCCUUCAACCACUGGACCUCCUUGGUGACAGGCACCUCGUCCUCCUCUUCCACCGGCCAAGUCUCCAGUCCUACCACUGGCAGUGGGUGCCCGGCUGCCGACAUCUCCAGCUACAUCUUGGCCAUCUACAGUUCCCGUCUGGUGAUAGUGAAACAAAUUGAGGGCCCGUCGACCAUACUAGCUGAUGCCAUCAUUCUCCUCACAAUGAAUAAGGGUGAGCGGCAUGAGGGGCGUGAAGGAAUGACGUGUUACUACCUGACCCAUGGCUGGGCGGGUCUCAUUGUGGCGGUGGAGAACCGUCUUCCAAAAUGUUACCUGCAUGUCCAGUGUGAUUGUACAGACAGCUUCAACGUGGUGUCGACGCGGGGCAGCUUGAAAACACAGGACAGCGUGCCACCACUGCACAGGCAGGUCCUGAUGAUGCCCCGCAUGUCGUACCGCAAAGAAAUACUAUUUUUUUAUGUCCCUGUUUUCCCAUAAAGGAGACGUGGCAGGGCUACACGGACCCCGGCUGCUCGUCUGGGACAAUACGCAGGUUUGGCUGCUCAUUGAACUCUGGAUCCUGGGACUUGACCCUUCUCACAGCCUACCUCACUAAAUAAAUUCUGCUGCUGUAAUUCAGUC